AGGUAAAAGUACCUACAUCACUAGUUUUUAAUUUCUUUUGUAAAUCUAUUAAGACAUGAUGUGAUUUGGCCCUUGCUCUCAAGCCUUGAUGAUGAUAUCAUGCUUUUGAAGUUUUUGUUUGGGUCACAUUUGAAAAAAAGAGCUCUCAAUAAGUAGUUCCAUAGAGAGAUUUGUUUUAGGAUAUUAAUUAAUGACUUUGGAUGGAUACUUAGGCCUUUCCACUGUCAUUCUCUCUCUCUCUCUCUCUCUCUCGUGUGUGUAUUUUCUUCUAUUUUUCUUUUCCAAGCAUCUUGACAUAUUUGCAUAUUUAUUCUCUUGAUUUGGAGGAGCUUUUUGUUGGGAUUGGCAAAAAAAUUUCUUAUCGACUUUCUUAUGAAAGUAUGUUUUGGGAUUUUGGAUGUUAUUGAAAUAUGCCACUAAUGGAAAACAGUUUUUGCUCAUGUUGUCUUCUUACCUUCACUUCGGUAUUAUUAUUAUAUGUUCUUUUACAGUUAAUACGGCGCAGAAGUUGGUUUAAUUGAUUGCAUUAGUAGGCUAAGCAAGAAUCUGCUUUGCUCGUUUUCGGUGGAAAUAAUGUAACUACCUGUUGACUUUUUUCUUUAUUAUCAACUAUGGAUGAGCGCUCAUAGAACUCCUAAGCAACCUAGAUCUUUUGGAUGAUAUUGCCUUUGUGAAGUUGGGCUAGCUGGAUGAUAUUUCCUUUGUGACCUCCCAAGCAUUUCAUCAUUUUUAUUGUUAAAUUUCUAUUUGUUUAUUAUUGUGCUAACUAAGAUUGUAGAAAAUUGAUGUAGAACUUCUGUUGAAAUCAUAUUUUUUUGCUUGUCUUGUUGAA